CCUACGGGAGGCAGCAGUGGGGGAUAUUGCACAAUGGGGGAAACUCUGAUGCAGCGACGCCGCGUGUGGGAAGACGGUCCUCUGGAUUGUAAACCACUGUUCCCAGGGACGAAGAUGACGCUACCUGGGGUGGAUGCUCCGGCAACCUACGUGCCAGCAGCCUCGGUAAUACGUAGGGAGCGAGCGUUUUCCGGAAUUACUGGGUGUAAGGGGAGCGUAGGCGGGGAUGCAAGUUGGGUGUCAAACCUACCGGCUCAACUGGUAGUCGCACUCAAAACUGCAGCGCUUGAGUGAAGUAGAGGCAGGCGGAAUUCCUAGUGUAGCGGUGAAAUGCGUAGAUAUUAGGAGGAACACCGGUGGCGAAGGCGGCCUGCUGGGCUGUGACUGACGCUGAGGCUCGAAAGUGUGGGGAGCAAACAGGAUUAGAUACCCUGGUAGUC
rnacentral:rRNA from 1 species